rnacentral:rRNA from 1 species
GGCGCACGGGUGAGUAACACGUAUCCAACCUGCCCUUUACUCGGGGAUAGCCUUUCGAAAGAAAGAUUAAUACCCGAUAGCAUAAUGAUUCCGCAUGGUUUCAUUAUUAAAGGAUUCCGGUAAAGGAUGGGGAUGCGUUCCAUUAGGUUGUUGGUGAGGUAACGGCUCACCAAGCCUUCGAUGGAUAGGGGUUCUGAGAGGAAGGUCCCCCACAUUGGAACUGAGACACGGUCCAAACUCCUACGGGAGGCAGCAGUGAGGAAUAUUGGUCAAUGGGCGCUAGCCUGAACCAGCCAAGUAGCGUGAAGGAUGAAGGCUCUAUGGGUCGUAAACUUCUUUUAUAUAAGAAUAAAGUGCAGUAUGUAUACUGUUUUGUAUGUAUUAUAUGAAUAAGGAUCGGCUAACUCCGUG